rnacentral:lncRNA from 1 species
GAUACAUAGGAUAUAUUGGCUAGUUUAGUUAAAUGAAAUUGCUAUGGGUAUGAAAGCUUUAAUGUAAAAACAGGCUGAGGUGGUAACUUGAAUGACUACACUAUUUUGCUGGGAAUAUAGUCUAAUCUCAUAAGACCUCUCACGCUUUUGCAGUGUGUGUGUAGAAGCUGAUGAAGAUUGAAGUGUUGGAAGCACAGUGUUCAUGCUGAAGAGUAUGAUAGUCUUCUGUUUCAAGAGGAGGAGAGCCAUCUGCUGUGAUCCAGUCUCUGGCACUGAAGAGGACAGCAGUGACUAAUGAUUAACUAAACUUUGGUCAUCAAUUUUUGGAGCAUCUAUCUCUAGAUGUGAAUGUGUCAGAAGUUGCUCACAAGCGCUUCAACUAUGUUUCUUGACUGUCCUGGGGGGCUAUGCAGCCUUCAGUGAGAAACAGGGAACAGAAGCCACUUGGGGAAUUUUUCAACUGGUGAAUACCUGCUGCUGUAGAGAGGAUCUCAAAUGUACACCACUCACAAAUCUUAAGAUAAAAUCAAACAGGAUUCUGAAGAUGUAUAAAGAAUCCAGGGUAAUACAAGAAAAAUGUGAAAAGCUCAGCUGGAAAAAUCUUUCUCAGAAUUGUGUGCUGCUUGAACAGUGUCAUCUGAAAGCUAUUGUGGUCUUUUGUGGCAAACUUGGAAAGUGCCUGGUGCAAAAGGUGCGCAUCAACACUCUGUGUUUUGAUUUGAUCUAUUGUUAUUUGAUGAAAUUUAAAGUCAGUUUCCAUGAAAUAAAGUGAUGGUUCUUUUUUUUCAAGGCAUCGUCAAGAUACACCCCAAACAAAUACAGUUAGGUCUUAUUUUUAUUUGGUACUAUUUCCUGCACUGGUCUGGAAUUUAUUCAAAUGUAUUAAGUAAAAUGAUGACUGUACACUAUGCAAAAGGACUGCUGGAGAAUAGAUUAUCUCAUUGUUUUAAAUUGUGAGAAACUGAUCAUUUCAAUCUGGAAGAGACAUCUUAAGUAGGGCUUAUCUGCAAAUGUAAUAAAAUAUUCCUCUGUGUCUGGAGGAAGAUAUGG